GAUGAACGCUAGCGGGAGGCUUAACACAUGCAAGUCGAGGGGCAGCACGAGGUAGCAAUACUUUGGUGGCGACCGGCGCACGGGUGAGUAACGCGUAUGUAACCUACCUUGUACAGGGGGAUAGCCCGGAGAAAUUCGGAUUAAUACCCCAUAAUGAUAUUUAGAGGCAUCUCUGAAUAUUUAAAGUUUCGACGGUACAGGAUGGGCAUGCGUGACAUUAGCUAGUUGGUAAGGUAACGGCUUACCAAGGCUGCGAUGUCUAGGGGUCCUGAGAGGGUGGUCCCCCACACUGGUACUGAGACACGGACCAGGCUCCUACGGGAGGCAGCAGUGAGGAAUAUUGGUCAAUGGGCGCAAGCCUGAACCAGCCAUCCCGCGUGAAGGAAGAAGGCGCUAUGCGUUGUAAACUUCUUUUCCGGAGGAAUAAAAUUUCGUACGUGUACGGGACUGAAGGUACUCCGGGAAUAAGCAUCGGCUAACUCCGUGCCAGCCGCCGCAGUAAUAC
rnacentral:rRNA from 1 species